GUUAUAAAUUGGAGUUAUAAACCGAUAAGGAGGUUUAUAACUGAUAUAUUGCCCCCGAGGACGCGCAGCGUCCGAGGGCAAUAUAUCAGUCAUAAACCGACUUUCGAGGUUUAUAACUCUAACUUAUAUC